rnacentral:rRNA from 1 species
UACGAAGGGAGCUAGCGUUGUUCGGAAUUACUGGGCGUAAAGGGCGCGUAGGUGGCUUGGCAAGUUGGAUGUGAAAGCCCAGGGCUCAACCCUGGAAUUGCAUUCAAGACUGCCUUGCUUGAAUUCGGUAGAGGUUGGUGGAAUUCCCAGUGUAGAGGUGAAAUUCGUAGAGAUUGGGAAGAACACCCGUGGCGAAGGCGGCCAACUGGACCGACAUUGACACUGAGGCGCGAAAGCGUGGGGAUCAAACAGG